AGUUCGUGGAGUGAUCUGUCUGCUUAAUUGCGUUUCAGAUAUAUAAAGGUAAGCUUAUUUAUUGCGAGGUGUUGUUCAGUUUGUACUUUAUUGUGCUUCUGGCCACUGAGCAGGCUACCUUUUGAAAGCAACGAACGUGACCUCAGCUCAAUGUUAUCUCUCUUUAUAAGAGACCAACUUUGAGGACCGCCAGAGUUGUCAACUCGGAGGAAGGUUGAGGCAAUAACAGGU
rnacentral:rRNA from 1 species